rnacentral:rRNA from 1 species
UGCCAGACUCCUACGGGAGGCAGCAGUGGGGAAUAUUGCACAAUGGGGGAAACCCUGAUGCAGCGGCGCCGCGUGAGCGAUGAAGUAUUUCGGUAUGUAAAGCUCUAUCAGCAGGGAAGAAGAUGACGGUACCUGACUAAGAAGCCCCGGCUAACUACGUGCCAGCAGCCGCGGUAAUACGUAGGGGGCAAGCGUUAUCCGGAUUUACUGGGUGUAAAGGGAGCGUAGACGGCGAUGCAAGCCAGAUGUGAAAGCCCGGGGCUCAACCCCGGGACUGCAUUUGGAACUGUGUGGCUGGAGUGUCGGAGAGGCAGGCGGAAUUCCUAGUGUAGCGGUGAAAUGCGUAGAUAUUAGGAGGAACACCAGUGGCGAGGGCGGCCUGCUGGACGAUGACUGACGUUGAGGCUCGAAAGCGUGGGGAGCAAACAGGAUUAGAUACCCCAGUA